rnacentral:tRNA from 1 species
GGCUCAUUAGCUCAGUUGGUAAGAGCACCACACUGAUUAUCGUGGAGGUCGUAGGUUCCAAUCCUACAUGAGCCA